UGAGGAAUCUUGCGCAAUGGGCGAAAGCCUGACGCAGCGAUGCCGCGUGGAGGAUGAAGGUCUUAGGAUUGUAAACUUCUGUUAAGUGGGAAGAAAAACCCUUUUCUAAUACAAAAGGGCAAUGACGGUACCAUUAGAGAAAGCACCGGCUAACUUCGUGCCAGCAGCCGCGGUAAUACGAAGGGUGCAAACGUUAUUCGGAAUAAUUGGGCGUAAAGGGUGCGCAGGCUGUAUGUUAAGUCAACCGUUAAAGCCCCCAGCCUAACUGGGGUUAUGCGGUAGAUACUGGCAAACUAGAGUGUGGGAGAGAGAAGUGGAAUUCUUGGAGUAGCGGUAAAAUGCGUAGAUCUCAAGAGGAACACCGAUGGCGAAGGCAGCUUCUUGGCCCUCUACUGACGCUCAUGCACGAAAGCGUGGGGAGCAAACAGG
rnacentral:rRNA from 1 species